UGAGAUCUUGAUCCGGGGGUCGGAAUGGAAUUGGGAGAGUUGCUGUAGCUUCAUUAGGUGAUUUUGGAUAUGUCUGCAAAUUUUGAGGUCAAUCGGACGUCAUUUGGUCGGGUUUUUUAUCGAAUGUGAGUUUCGGAAGUUUUAGUUUAACUUAGGCUUGAAUCGUCUUGAAUUGAUGAUUUUUGUGUUGUUGGUCGUGACUUUAUGAUGGAAACAAGUUCGUAUGAUGUUUUGGGGGUAUGUUGGUGCUUUUGGUUGAGCUCCCGAGGGCCUCAAGAUGGUUUCGAG
rnacentral:lncRNA from 1 species